rnacentral:rRNA from 1 species
CAAUCAAACCGGGAGAUAGCUGGUUCUCCCCGAAAGCUAUUUAGGUAGCGCCUCGUGAAUUCAUCUCCGGGGGUAGAGCACUGUUUCGGCAAGGGGGUCAUCCCGACUUACCAACCCGAUGCAAACUGCGAAUACCGGAGAAUGUUAUCACGGGAGACACACGGCGGGUGCUAACGUCCGUCGUGAAGAGGGAAACAACCCAGACCGCCAGCUAAGGUCCCAAAGUCAUGGUUAAGUGGGAAACGAUGUGGGAAGGCCCAGACAGCCAGGAUGUUGGCUUAGAAGCAGCCAUCAUUUAAAGAAAGCGUAAUAGCUCACUGGUCGAGUCGGCCUGCGCGGAAGAUGUAACGGGGCUAAACCAUGCACCGAAGCUGCGGCAGCGACGCUUAUGCGUUGUUGGGUAGGGGAGCGUUCUGUAAGCCUGCGAAGGUGUACUGUGAGGUAUGCUGGAGGUAUCAGAAGUGCGAAUGCUGACAUAAGUAACGAUAAAGCGGGUGAAAAGCCCGCUCGCCGGAAGACCAAGGGUUCCUGUCCAACGUUAAUCGGGGCAGGGUGAGUCGACCCCUAAGGCGAGGCCGAAAGGCGUAGUCGAUGGGAAACAGGUUAAUAUUCCUGUACUUGGUGUUACUGCGAAGGGGGGACGGAGAAGGCUAUGUUGGCCGGGCGACGGUUGUCCCGGUUUAAGCGUGUAGGCUGGUUUUCCAGGCAAAUCCGGAAAAUCAAGGCUGAGGCGUGAUGACGAGGCACUACGGUGCUGAAGCAACAAAUGCCCUGCUUCCAGGAAAAGCCUCUAAGCAUCAGGUAACAUCAAAUCGUACCCCAAACCGACACAGGUGGUCAGGUAGAGAAUACCAAGGCGCUUGAGAGAACUCGGGUGAAGGAACUAGGCAAAAUGGUGCCGUAACU